GGACGGGAUCCAUCGGAGAGCUUGCUCGAAGAUGGUGAGAGUGGCGCACGGGUGCGUAACGCGUGAGCAACCUACCUCUAUCAGGGGGAUAGCCUCUCGAAAGAGAGAUUAACACCGCAUAAUAUAAUUUCCCGGCAUCGAGGAAUUAUUAAAUAUUUAUAGGAUAGAGAUGGGCUCGCGUGACAUUAGCUAGUUGGUAGGGUAACGGCUUACCAAGGCGACGAUGUCUAGGGGCUCUGAGAGGAGAAUCCCCCACACUGGUACUGAGACACGGACCAGACUCCUACGGGAGGCAGCAGUAAGGAAUAUUGGUCAAUGGGCGGAAGCCUGAACCAGCCAUGCCGCGUGCAGGAUGACUGCCCUAUGGGUUGUAAACUGCUUUUGUCCAGGAAUAAACCUAGAUACGUGUAUCUAGCUGAAUGUACUGGAAGAAUAAGGAUCGGCUAACUCCGUG
rnacentral:rRNA from 1 species